rnacentral:rRNA from 1 species
CGGCAGCUAACACAUGCAAGUCGAGGGGUAACAGGGAAGAGCUUGCUCUUUCGCUGACGACCGGCGCACGGGUGCGUAACGCGUAUACAACCUACCUUUUGGAGGGGAAUAGCCCAGGGAAACUUGGAUUAAUGCCCCAUAGUAUGGGAAUAUCUCCUGAUAUUUUCAUUAAACAUUUAUGGCCAUUAGAUGGGUAUGCGUCCUAUUAGUUAGUUGGUAAGGUAACGGCUUACCAAGGCAGCGAUAGGUAGGGGUCCUGAGAGGGAGAUCCCCCACACUGGUACUGAGACACGGACCAGACUCCUACGGGAGGCAGCAGUGAGGAAUAUUGGACAAUGGGCGAGAGCCUGAUCCAGCCAUGCCGCGUGCAGGAAGACUGCCCUAUGGGUUGUAAACUGCUUUUACAGAGGAAGAACCACUCCCACGUGUGGGAGUUUGACGGUACUCUGCGAAUAAGGAUCGGCUAACUCCGUGCCAGCAGCCGCGGUAAUACGGAGGAUCCAAGCGUUAUCCGGAAUCAUUGGGUUUAAAGGGUCCGUAGGCGGGCAGUUAAGUCAGUGGUGAAAGUCUUCCGCUCAACGGGAGAACUGCCAUUGAUACUGAUUGUCUUGAGUUAUUAUGAAGUGGUUAGAAUGAGUAGUGUAGCGGUGAAAUGCAUAGAUAUUACUCAGAAUACCGAUUGCGAAGGCAGAUCACUAAUAAUAUACUGACGCUGAUGGACGAAAGCGUAGGUAGCGAACAGGAUUAGAUACCCUGGUAGUCUACGCCGUAAACGAUGGUUACUAGCUGUUCGGCCCGAUUAAGGGCUGAGUGGUUAAGCGAAAGUGAUAAGUAACCCACCUGGGGAGUACGUUCGCAAGAAUGAAACUCAAAGGAAUUGACGGGGGCCCGCACAAGCGGUGGAGCAUGUGGUUUAAUUCGAUGAUACGCGAGGAACCUUACCAGGGCUUAAAUGUAGUCUGACAGGAGUGGAAACACUUUUUUCUUCGGACAGAUUACAAGGUGCUGCAUGGUUGUCGUCAGCUCGUGCCGUGAGGUGUCAGGUUAAGUCCUAUAACGAGCGCAACCCCUGUGGUUAGUUGCCAGCGAGUAAUGUCGGGAACUCUAGCCAGACUGCCGGUGCAAACCGCGAGGAAGGUGGGGAUGACGUCAAAUCAUCACGGCCCUUACGUCCUGGGCCACACACGUGCUACAAUGGUAGGGACAGAGAGCAGCCACUUCGCGAGAAGGAGCGAAUCUACAAACCCUAUCACAGUUCGGAUCGCAGUCUGCAACUCGACUGCGUGAAGCUGGAAUCGCUAGUAAUCGCAUAUCAGCCAUGAUGCGGUGAAUACGUUCCCGGGCCUUGUACACACCGCCCGUCAAGCCAUGGAAGCCGGGGGUACCUGAAGUCGGUCACCGCAAGGAGCCGCCUAGGUAAAACUGA